rnacentral:rRNA from 1 species
ACUGCUCAGUAACACGUGGACAACCUACCCUUGGGUCUGGCAUAAUCCUGGGAAACUGGGUAUAAUUCCGGAUAGGUCACAGAUGCUGGAAUGCACUGUGGCCGAAAGCUCCGGCGCCCAAGGAUGGGUCUGCGGCCUAUCAGGGUUGUAGUGGGUGUAACGGACCUACUAGCCUACGACGGGUACGGGUUGUGAGAGCAAGAGCCCGGAGAUGGAUUCUGAGACACGAAUCCAGGCCCUACGGGGUGCAGCAGGCGCGAAAACUUUACAAUGCGGGAAACCGUGAUAAGGGAAUCUCGAGUGCCAGCAUAUAAUGUUGGCUGUCCAGAUGCCUAAAAAGCAUCUGUUAGCAAGGGCCGGGCAAGACCGGUGCCAGCAGCCGCGGUAAUACGAU